CACGUAGGGCGCAAGCGUUGUCCGGAAUUAUUGGGCGUAAAGGGCUCGUAGGUGGCCAACUAAGUCGGACGUGAAAUCCCUCGGCUUAACCGGGGAACUGCAUCCGAUACUGGAUGGCUUGAGUUCGGGAGAGGGAUGCGGAAUUCCAGGUGUAGCGGUGAAAUGCGUAGAUAUCUGGAGGAACACCGGUGGCGAAGGCGGCAUCCUGGACCGACACUGACGCUGAGGAGCGAAAGCGUGGGGAGCGAACAGG
rnacentral:rRNA from 1 species